CUACGGGCGGCAGCAGUGAGGAAUAUUGCACAAUGGGGGGAACCCUGAUGCAGCAACGCCGCGUGGAGGAUGACGCAUUUCGGUGUGUAAACCCCUUUUAUAUGUCAAGAAAAUGACGGUAGCAUAUGAAUAAGCACCGGCUAACUCCGUGCCAGCAGCCGCGGUAAUACGGAGGGUGCAAGCGUUACUAGGAAUCACUGGGCGUAAAGGACGCGUAGGCGGGUUGGAAAGUCAGGUGUGAAAUCCUACAGCUUAACUGUAGAACUGCACUUGAAACUUCUAAUCUAGAGUAUGGGAGGGGGAGAUGGAAUUAGUGGUGUAGGGGUAAAAUCCGUAGAUAUCACUAGGAAUACCUAAAGCGAAGGCGAUCUCCUGGAACAUUACUGACGCUAAGGCGUGAAAGCGUGGGGAGCAAACAGGAUUAGAUACCCUAGUAGUC
rnacentral:rRNA from 1 species